rnacentral:rRNA from 1 species
AUUGAACGCUGGCGGGAUGCUUUACACAUGCAAGUCGAACGAGUGGCGGACGGGUGAGUAAUGUAUCGGAAAGUGGCCAGUCGGGGGGGGACACUACUCGAAAGCGUGGCUAAUACCGCAUACUCUCGGAGCGGCCGAUAUCGGAUUAGCUGGUUGGGGGGGGAAAGGCACACCAGGGCAACGAUCCGUAGCUGGUUUGAGAGGACGACCAGCCAAACUGGGACUGAGAAACGGCCCAGACUCUGACGGGAGGCAGCAUUGGGGAAUUUUGGACAAUGGGGGAAAUCCUGAUCCAGCCAUCCCGCGUGUAUGAGAAGGCCUUCGGGUGGUAAAGUACUUUUGGCGGGGAAGCGGUAUCUGCAGAAUAAGCACCGGCUAACUACGUGCCAGCAGCCGCGGUAAUAC